UGCUGGCGAUGACUCGCUGCUGGCGAAUCGAUCUGCGCAUGUGUAUAAAAUGGUAUUUACUUCCGAAAACAUGCCUGCUGCACGCGCUCACUUUUCUCUGACUGAAACUCAGUUCCUGGCAAGUUGUGGAGAUCAUGUAAUUAAGGCAGCUUCCACAUCCAAUUCUUUAUUUGUACUCCAUGAAAUAGAGACAGAAUAUAUGAAGAACUUUGACUAGUAUCGAAUAGCCUUGCUUGAAGCUGUUGCAGCAUCCAAAAGAAAAUCUACAGCUACCUUCCUGUUUGGUAACAAAUCCAUGCUGCGUUCAUAACAAAAUGGUAAAUACUCAACAAAACAAAAAGGCUACAUAGUUAUCCCAAUGAUACAUCAUGCAUAAUCAAGGUUUAAAAAAAAAAAAAUGUUUUCAUCCAGUUUUUAAAUUCAGUUAGCCUAUAAUUAUUUUUUGACUUCAUGUGCGUAAAUGUUAAAAUUUUUAAUUUCUGAAAUUUAAUCUAAAUUAUAUUAAUGCAGAGUUGUUGCUAAACCAAUUGGCCAUGUUUGUUUUGGUCACGCAAAUAAUGCUAAUUAACGCACACUGGUUUACAUUAAUUUUAUAUCUAUUUUACAAACCAGUAGAAUGGAAAUAAUACUCAACGAAAAAUUGUAGUCAACAAAAUGAACUAGUCAAAUAAGCCCAUUAACAAUUUAUGCAGGUGUUGUGUAUGCUAUCAAAAACCAGGUUCAAUAGCAAUGGAAUUGCUCCAGAGGAGGAUGAGGGGUGGCAACAUAACACUAUACUCUCUAGCAGUCAGGGCCCAGCCAGAGGGGUGUUGAGGGGUUUUAACACCCUCUAAAAUUAAUCGAAAUAAACAAAAAAUCCAGAUAAUGUAGUAGUAAACGUAAAAUAUAGGCCUUUAUGUAUGAUUUAUGUAUUGAUUUAUUAUGAUUUACAGAGGAUCCCGGAGGUACUGUCCAACCAGGCCCCCCCCCCCCUUAGAGUAAACCAGAAAUAAUUGAAAGAAAUGAAUGAAUCAUAAACCUAACAUACUGUGAAUUGUUAACAUUCUUUCAUUACGCCAUCUUUAUAUGAUUGUAAAUUUUAUUUUCAUAUGUAGGCCUAUAAUUCGGGAUUAGAGCAAAUUAAAUCUCACUAUAUUCUAGCUCCUAUUUUGUUUUCUUGAAAAAUAUGAAGUUAUGAAGUUGAAGUUUGACUUAAAAUCAAAUAAAUUUUUUUCAAAGUGAAUAAAUUUGUUAUACCUUAUAGUAAUAUUGCACAGUAUAUAAACAAUAAAAGGAAAAUAAGUGAGGGUGUUUUAGCCUGACUUUAGUAGUACAGUAUUCUCAGAUGCAAUGGAAGUGUUGAAAAUACGGAUAAACAAAUAAAUUUGCCCUUGAAGAAAAAAUAAAAA